GGGACGUAGCUCAGAGGUAGAGGAUCUGCCUUGUAUGCAGAAGGACCUGGGUUUAAUCCCUGGCAACCU